rnacentral:rRNA from 1 species
AGCUCCAAUAGCGUAUAUUAAAGUUGUUGCGGUUAAAAAGCUCGUAGUUGGUUUUCUGUCGGGCGCUGCCGGUCCGAACCUAGUUCGUGCAUCUGGUCCAGCCUCGGCAUUCUCCCCGGGAGCGUGCUUGUCAUUCAUUUGAUGAGGCGCGGCCGGGGACUUCUACUUUGAGGAAAUUAGAGUGUUUACGGCAAGCAUGCGCUUGAAUAUAUUAGCAUGGGAUAAUUAUACAGGACCUUAAUCCUAUUUUUUGGUUCCUAGGAAGAAGGUAA